GGAUGUGAAAGCGAUCUGGAUGUGACAUCUGUCUCUCCACUGAUGCCAGGGUUGAUUUAGCAGAUCUGUCUGGCGAAGUGAGUGUUCCCUUCCUUUCUCACUGCUCCAUGUGAGUCCCUCCUAAAAGUCCUCAGUUGACAAGGAAAAGCACCCUGAUAGAGGGAUCAUUUCAUUUCUUGGGUCAAGAGUAGAUGAGUAGCUGUGGUGCCCUACCAGAACCUCCAAACAAACUCUUUAGAAUAGAGAAAAUAACCUAGAAGAAAAUAAAGAUAUUUUAGAUAAAAGACUGAGAAAUAGACUUAAGAUCAUACUUU
ensembl:misc_RNA 7SK 7SK RNA